GAUGAACGCUGGCGGCGUGCCUAAUACAUGCAAGUCGAGCGAACAGACGAGGAGCUUGCUCCUUCGACGUUAGCGGCGGACGGGUGAGUAACACGUAGGUAACCUACCUAUAAGACUGGGAUAACUUCGGGAAACCGGAGCUAAUACCGGAUAAUAUUUCGAACCGCAUGGUUCGAUAGUGAAAGAUGGCUUUGCUAUCACUUAUAGAUGGACCUGCGCUGCAUUAGCUAGUUGGUAAGGUAACGGCUUACCAAGGCAACGAUGCGUAGCCGACCUGAGAGGGUGAUCGGCCACACUGGAACUGAGACACGGUCCAGACUCCUACGGGAGGCAGCAGUAGGGAAUCUUCCGCAAUGGGCGAAAGCCUGACGGAGCAACGCCGCGUGAGUGAUGAAGGUCUUCGGAUCGUAAAACUCUGUUAUUAGGGAAGAACAAAUGUGUAAGUAACUGUGCACGUCUUGACGGUACCUAAUCAGAAAGCCACGGCUAACUACGUG
rnacentral:rRNA from 1 species